AGGGAAGAUCCACAGUUGAGCAAAUAAUUUCAACACAAUGCAAUGAAUACUACCUAAAGGGGGCUUAUAAACUAAAACAAAUGUUUAUACCAAGGGAGGAUGUAAAAUCCUAAUCUGUCUACAUCUAUUGAGUUCACUCAGAAUAAUUUUAGUAGUUUUCUGCCUUGGUUAAUUAAAAUGUUCAUCUCCGUGUACUCCAAGGAGCAGAUCAGGUGACCUCUUGAAGAACUUUGAAGCUCUAGGAUUCUGUUUUUGCACUCCCCUAGCAACUGAGAAAUCAGGACAUCUUUCUCUACAGGCAAGAAGAGGAAAAUAAUACAUGAGUGACAGAAGAUUGAGUACAGUACCCAGCUUUGCCAAGUAGACCAGCUACUGGAAAAAAGCAAAAACCAGACAAUUUGGAGUAAAGGAAAUGGAAGAAAAGGAAGGUCCUUCAGAGUCAUAAAUGACCAAGAGAGGCAGGGACAAAAAUGGCUAAAAGAGGGACAGCAAUGCACUGGAUCAAAUAACAAGGAUGCCACUGUCAGACUGACUGGAGAUUCUAACAACUUUGGCAGUUACUAGCUGAGUGACCUUGAACAACUUACUGAACCUCUCCAAUCUUGACUCAUCAUGCACGAAAUUGGGAAGGUAACGUCUUUCUUAUCGAUUAUUUUAAAAUUUUAUGAGAUAU
rnacentral:lncRNA from 1 species